rnacentral:lncRNA from 1 species
AAGCCCGGAAGAGGAUCCUUAAGAGGUCUUGCCCGGCGUCUCUCCGUGACCUUGGAAGCCCUGCUCCAAUUAUGCCUCCUCCGGGACACCGGCCUGCGGAGAGCUCCCCCUCGCUCCCUCGCUGCCCCUGCCCGGAGCCAGCCUUUGAUCGGCUCCGGCCGCCCUUCCGCCCGAGCCUGGCUUGCGUUACCGCGAAUUGUGGCGGGGCCCUCCCUGCACCUCCGCCCUCUUGGAGCGUCCCUCGGGGCAGGGCCGGGUCGGCUUCAUUUUUCUGAGCGCCUCGGAGUCCCCGCGUAGUUAGUCGGAGUCUGAAACUUGCACGUCCCCACCCCCAUUUUGUUACUCAGCCAGUCACCGCUUCCUGCUGGCCCCCCUUUCCUCCUCCCAACGCCCUCAAAUCCCUCCUCUCCUCUCCGCCUGUGUCUAGAUCAGGCUCUUUAUCUGUGACCUCCACCCGGACGGUGACAGGCAAUUCAGAUUUAUGUCCAGAGCCUUGGUUCCCCUUCCCUCAAACCUUUUUUCCCUCUGUAAAGGACACGCCAGGAACCUGGAAGUCCUUGAUUCUACGUGUCCUCCUGCAAGUCCCGUAAACUCUACUUCCAAUGUGCUGACUAUUCCAGAAUGUGCCCCUUUUUCUCCAUCUCCAGCGCUAACACUCCGUCCCAGCUCCCAUCACUUCUCCUGAACUUCCGCAGUGUCGACUCCACCCUUUAAUUAAUUAAUUCUCCGUAAAGCAGCUGGAGCGAUUUUUGUAAAACAGAUAAUGCAGUUUGAAAAUGGCCAAAGGUAGAACGCUUUUACACUGUUGGUGGGAAUGUAAAUUAGUUCAACCAUUGUGGAAGACAGUGUGGUGAUUCCUCAAAGACCUAGAACCAGAAAUACCAUUUGACCCAGAAAUCCCAUUACUGGGUAUAUACCUAAAGGAAUAUAAAUCAUUCUAUUACAAAGAUACAUGCACGAGUAUGUUCAUUGAAGCACUAUUCAAAAUAGCAAAGACAUGGACUCAACCCAAAUGCCCAUCAAUGAUAGACUGGAUAAAGAAAAUGUGGUACAUAUACACCAUGGAAUACUAUACAGCCAUAAAAAGGAACGAGAUCAUGUCCUUUGCAGGGACAUGGAUGAAGCUAGAAGCUAUUAUCCUCAGCAAAUUAAUGCAGCAACAGAAAGCUAAACAUGCAUGUUCUCACUUAUAAGUGGGAGCUGAACAAUGAGAACACAUGGACACAGGGAGGGGACCAACACACAUGGGGGCCUGUGGGGUGGGUGUUGGGAGGGGGGAGGGAGAGCAUCAGCAAGAGUAGCUAAUGCAUCCUGGGCUUGAUACCUAGGUGAUGGGUUAAUGGGUGCGGUAAACUACCAUGGCAGAUGUUUCCCUGUGUAACAAACCUGCACAUCGUGCACAUGUACCCCAGAACUUGA